UCAGAGUAGUUAUGAUUGAUA
rnacentral:siRNA from 1 species